CUACGGGCGGCUGCAGCGAGGAAUAUUGCACAAUGGGGGGAACCCUGAUGCAGCAACGCCGCGUGGAGGAUGACGCAUUUCGGUGUGUAAACUCCUUUUAUAUGUCAAGAAAAUGACGGUAGCAUAUGAAUAAGCACCGGCUAACUCCGUGCCAGCAGCCGCGGUAAUACGGAGGGUGCAAGCGUUACUCGGAAUCACUGGGCGUAAAGGACGCGUAGGCGGGUUGGAAAGUCAGGUGUGAAAUCCUACAGCUUAACUGUAGAACUGCACUUGAAACUUCUAAUCUAGAGUAUGGGAGGGGGAGAUGGAAUUAGUGGUGUAGGGGUAAAAUCCGUAGAUAUCACUAGGAAAACCUAAAGCGAAGGCGAUCUCCUGGAACAUUACUGACGCUAAGGCGUAAAAGCGUGGGGAGCAAACAGGAUUAGAUACCCCCGUAGUC
rnacentral:rRNA from 1 species